UAGCAUUCCAUGUAGACUUUUGGCACUGCAUGGUCGAAACCAAAACAACACCAAUUGUCGUUCACACAUGGCGUGGGACGCCUUUUAGGGGCAAAUAGAGACCGGAGAUGCCUCGUACCCGCGAGGUAUUCAAAUGACCGUGAGAACGAACGUCAUGCCAUCCAUCCAACAACCCAAGAACAUCGAAGAAAUCGGGGGUUCGAUGAUGGCAUU
rnacentral:misc_RNA from 1 species